AUGACUGCACUCCGGAGACUCGCGCUGACAGUUCGCUACAACGAGAAACACCUUCCGUUGUACCUGCCAACUGUAAAGCCUAGUCAUUUGCUUCUGGACUGCAGCCCAGAGGCACUCGCCUCCAUGGCCGUGGGAAAAUCUGGUGCGGAGUGGGACAAGUUCAGCCAUAUCCCGCAUGUCGAGGCUUAUGCAAAUGGCGAAGGCACUGAAAAGAGAUGGCACCUAUUUUACACAAGAGAGCCCUACAAAAUGGAGACAGAUGUGGAGGCAACUCGGCAGUUUCGCUUGGCGGGGUUAAUCUGA
rnacentral:rRNA from 1 species